rnacentral:lncRNA from 1 species
CGCCCGGGAGGAGUUCAGGGUUCAAGUGCGCGCCUGGGUCUGUGCACAUCUUCCCCUUCCUCGGCCUCCCUGGAGGGAAGACCGUAGAAGCUUUAUCAUAGGGCCUAGUGUCAUGAUCAUAUAUUUACUCCAUAAAUACCUGUGAGGGAAGAAAGCUAAUGGAACUUGAGAGCAGGUGAAAUGGAAGGCUAUGUGCAAGUUCUAAGGGAAUAAAGUUUGUUUUCUAAUGUUGCCUCUUUAUGUAGAUUGUUUUUUCAUAACUUGAUUAAAAGUCUCCGUCCUUUUCACCUUCUCCCCUGCCUGAAGUCAUUUCUGCCAUGUAUAUGAGC